rnacentral:sRNA from 1 species
ACGACACUCGUAGCGAUGCAUCUAAGAUUCAUAAAACCAUAUGAAUAGGUUUUACUUACCGGGAACCAAACGUGCAUCGGUAGCUACAAGAGAUAAAGCUAAGGAUAGCAGGAUUCCCAGGAAUAACUUUAUGCUUUCGUUAGUGAUCGGUAUAACGAUUGCAACUGGAACUAUGUUUGUCCAGUUAUAUCCAAGAAGCAGGAAGUGAAAUAUAUUAGUGCUUAAGCGUAAUGGCUUAUGUGACUUUAGUUUUAAGAAAUCUGUUUAAUUCGGAACUAAUUUCUAUAUUAAAAUCAUUUUGAAUUGAAAAUUGGGUUGCAUAUUAGAUUUUUAUUUUACAGAUUCAUCUUAGAAUCAUAAAACCAUAGGAAUAGAAUCCUACGAAUCCCUUCCUUCAUUUUCGGGAACCAAACGAGCAUCGGUGGCUACAAGGGAUAAAGCUAAAGAUAGCAGGACACCCAGGAAGAACUUCAUGUUUUCUGUAGUGAUCGGUGAGUUGUAAUGUGAUGAUACUGCUUGAUGCCGCUCUUUUAUAACGAUUGCAACUGGAACUAAGUUUGUUCCGUGAACAGUAGGCGUACCUAAGUGCCUUAACUCAAUUCAUUAGUUAUAUCUAAUAAGCAGGAAGUGAAAUAUGUUUGCACUUAAGCUCAAUGGCUGAUGUGACUUAAGUUUUAAGAAAACUGAGUAAUUCAGAAAUAUUUUGUAUACUAAAAUACAUUUUGCAUCAAUAAAAUAAAUGUGUGGAGACUUCAAUUAUGACUAAGAGAUAGCUGGAUAACGGACACGCUUAACAGUAAAGUUGAUAAUAGAAUGCCGAAGGAAAAGUUCUGGACAGACGAGAGCGGCUCUCGCUGGGAUACACGAAACACGUAGCGGCAGAUGCGCUGGAUAUAUGCAUAAUUUCCGGUACUUGUUUCAGGAAGGUUUUUUAAUUAAUCGGUAUAUACAGUCGUUAUUAUAUUACAUUCCGUUAGAGUCCCGUUUCGCACAUCAGACUUGAGGUUGGAACUAAUUUGAUUACAGGGUCCGAAUUGCUUCCAAGUACGAGUACAAGGCUAAUGUUAUGCAACUUCCUGGUUAUAAAACUGAUGAAAUUAAAGCUCGUGUAAGGAAAUCAAUAAGAGCCCAUUCCCCCGAUUCGAAUGCAUUCUGCUCUGCAUUAAGUCUUAUUUAGCAUUUCUAAAGAGUGUCAUUUGGAAUUGGUUACAUAACUUGUAUGUAAAUGCCACAACCUCCACGUUCAAUGAGUCCGUAUUGAAUAAAUCUACUAGAGAUAUAUUGAAUACUAAACCGAUAUUAUUAUUAUCGCUAGCAGUGGCAGGAGGCAACAGCCAGGACAAAAUAUGGGUAUUAUCGGGGAAUUAAUUAUAUUAUAUACGCUGAUAUUAGUUUCCUAAGGUUACAAAAUGUCAUGGUCAGAUGUUAUACAACUUAAUAAUCUAAUUUUACCAUCGCGCAGCAGCUCGCUUGAGAUUUUUUUUGAAUGUCAACAAUUAUACAAUUUCGGAAUAUUAUAUCCUCCGUUAAAAAAAGAAUUAAUUGUUUUACAUAUCUGAAACAAAAAAAUCCUACAAAAAUCAUUCGCCUAUCGGGAUGACAUCGUGAGGCCCUGUCUUUGCAGACCUAAAAAGCGGCAAGACAACGGACAGGAGUCCUAGAUAAAGCUUACUUUAUGGUUUGAGUGGUCGCUGAUCGAGCACCCUAUUUAUACAGCGUCUUUUUUACCAGGAACAUAUAGGAUUUUUAUUGUCUAUCCAAUUUCUUUAUAAGAAUUUCUAAACGAUGACUGCUCUACCAAUUGGAAUGGGCUUCCUUGAAUAUACUGUUCAGCUUGAAUUGUUGCGCUAGUUGUUUUUAAAUUGUUUAAUACUUUCGUUUUAAUUAUGUAUGCGAAGACUGCUGUUGCCAGAGGGCAGACACGUUGAGUCAUCUGAAACGUGCAUCUUACAUUUAAAGCGACUCCACUUGCGCUGCAUUCGCAUCUGUCAAGUGAUUAUUUCUCUCUUUAAUCUGCUUUACAAGUAAAUAAAUGAUUUUCUUUUCAUUGUAGUACAUUGUCUUUGAUUUAUCAUUCAAUUCGUCUUUUGAUUUUUCCUACAUGUUUGAUUCCCCGGAAAAGCAAGCACUGUAUCGUGUCAUCUGUUUCGAUUCCCAUGACUAGAUGUGGCUACUUUAUAUCAUAUGUUUUUCUUCAGUAAUAGAAAAUUAAAUAACGUAAGGAUCAUUUUAAGACAAGUCCACUAAGGAUUCGUUGAGAAGGGCUUUCAACGAUUUUCUGCGAGAAUAGAAAUUAUAAUGAUCUGAUGUAAUAAUCACGAGUCAUACAUUUUCGUGGGUUGUUAUUCUGAAAACAGGUGAUAUAUAGUAUAUAUCCUCCUUUAAACAACCUGAUUUAUUGCUUUACAUUUCUUUAACUGCAAGAGCCUGUACAUUCGUUUAUGGCGGUGGAUAUGGAGGUUUGGCGUUCGCAGAUACAAGAAGUGGCAAGGCAACGGCCAGAAGCAGUCCUAAGUAGAGCUUCAUUUUGGUUUGUGUGGUCACUGAAUACAAAUGUCAAUAUUCCGCUCAGAGCCCCGGUUAUAUACCCUCAGACGAAACGAAUCGUAUGAUGUAUUUGUUAAUUAAUUAGUUACAACAAUACAGGCUGCCAUGGCAAAAUAUUUCACAACUAGCUAAUGUGAAUUGAUCUAAUUUUAUACGGUCUUAUGCGGUCUUUUUCGAAUGGUCGCUAUGGCCUCUGCUCUAUCGUUUUAUAUUCUCUCGACUUUGUAGUAUUUAUAUCUGGAUUUUGUAUCCUUGAAAAGGAAAAUAUUAUUCUUAAGAUGUUUGAAAGGCCAUGUCGAUCUAUCUAUCAGAUUCUAUCAGAACUUGUACUCUUUUGAGAGGUAUCUCUCUAUUAUAUUUUAUUCAGAAAUGUAAUUUCCGACCAAAUCUAUCCGCCAAGUAGUUUCUGUAUGUAGAUUCUAAAUAGAUCGCGGUCCACCGAAGGUAUUUGUGGUAUUGGUUAAGCAAGUGAGACGGGGGUUGGCAGGGGCUUGUCCCUAGUUGUAUAGAAAAAAAGUUUCACCCAACUGAACAUAUAACCCAAGAUAAAAAACAACAGUGAGAAAUAAAUUGAAAGAUCCGUUUAUUGAUCUAGAUUUCUGCAAGAAUAGCGGAAGUCGACAAGGGCAUCGUAAUGAUGGGGUUGGCACAUCCUCUUAGGGUGCUCCUGUUGGCGAAUCACUCUUCGGGGACAUGGUUCCUGCAGCCACAAGGAGGGGCAGGGCAACGGCCAGGAGAAAUCCAAGGUACAGCUUCAUUAUUAUUGGAGUGAUCGAUGAAUACGAGUGUCAAGUUCUCAUUUAGUUCUCAUUUAUAUAUAUAUUGGACCUGUAGAUGGAACAAAUCAGAUUUGCAUGCUCUGAAUUCGCAAGCGAUUCUAAAGGCGGCCAAGGCCAAAGGUUAUACAACUUCCAAAUAAAAUGCCAGAAUCUCCACCUACCUGAUUAACCACUAAAAUGGCCUACAGGACAAUAAAAAGUUAACCAAAGCCAAUAACUACAACUGCACAGACUGGAUAAUG